CAAUGAAGCAACAGGCAAGAAAUACGAAGACAAACAAUUGCAUGAUCGCUUCAAUUUUUAUGAAUGUGAAUAUGGAAUAGUGCGCAACAUCAAGCAUCAUCCAGAGUUUAGCUGGGAUCAUCAACGUCAAGUAGUAAUUGCCACAGAUGCUAAAUGGAAUAAAUAUAUUAAGGGAAAUCCCAGUGCGAAGCCCUAUCGAAGGAGAGAAGUACCAAAUAUUAAUUUAUAUGAAAUUGUGUUUGAGAAAAAAAAAAAUACUGUGAUUUCCAAUGAGUGACUCUCUUGAAAUAAAAAUAGUGUUGUAAUCUCUUCGUUCUCUAGCUAUGAGAUCUCAACAUUCUCACAAUAAUCUCGCCUCUUGACCGAGGCAAACAUUGUUACACUA